GCGUUGUUCGGAAUUACUGGGCGUAAAGGGCUCGUAGGCGGCCAACUAAGUCGGACGUGAAAUCCCCAGGCUCAACCUGGGAACUGCGUCCGAUACUGGAUGGCUUGAAUUCGGGAGAGGGAUGCAGAAUUCCAGGUGUAGCGGUGAAAUGCGUAGAUAUCUGGAGGAAUACCGGUGGCGAAGGCGGCAUCCUGGACCGACAUUGACGCUGAUGAGCGAAAGCUAGGGGAGCAAACGGG
rnacentral:rRNA from 1 species